rnacentral:rRNA from 1 species
CUUACAAGGAUUCCCCUAGUAACGGCGAGCGAACCGGGAACAGCCCAGCUUGAGAAUCGGGCGGCGCAAUCCGUUCGAAUUGUAGUCUGGAGAGGCGUCCUCAGCGACGGACCGAGCCCAAGUUCCCUGGAAAGGGACGCCUGGGAGGGUGAGAGCCCCGUCCGGCCCGGACCCUGUCGCACCACGAGGCGCCGUCAACGAGUCGGGUUGUUUGGGAAUGCAGCCCUAAUCGGGCGGUAAACUCCGUCCAAGGCUAAAUACAGGCGAGAGACCGAUAGCGAACAAGUACCGCGAGGGAAAGAUGAAAAGGACUUUGAAAAGAGAGUCAAAGAGUGCUUGAAAUUGCCGGGAGGGAAGCGGAUGGGGGCCGGCGAUGCGCCCCGGCCGUAUGCGGAACGGUUUCGGCUGGUCCGCCACUCGGCUCGGGGCGCGGACUGUUGUCGGCUGCGCCGGCGACCUAAGUCCAGGGGCUCUAGGUGCCUCUGGUUUCCGUCGUCGGCACGGCCGGUUACCGCGCGCCGCAAGGCGUGCCCCUCGGGGCACUGCGCUGCAACGGCCUGUGGGCUCCCCAUCCGACCCGUCUUGAAACACGGACCAAGGAGUCUGACAUGCGUGCGAGUCGACGGGUUCUGAAACCUGGGAUGCGCAAGGAAGCUAACGAGCGGGAGGCCCUCACGGGCCGCACCGCUGGCCGACCCUGAUCUUCUGUGAAGGGUUCGAGUUGGAGCACGCCUGUCGGGACCCGAAAGAUGGUGAACUAUGCCUGAGCGGGGCGAAGCCAGAGGAAACUCUGGUGGAGGCUCGAAGCGAUACUGACGUGCAAAUCGUUCGUCUGACUUGGGUAUAGGGGCGAAAGACUAAUCGAA